GGGAAAAUGACUGAGUGGUUUAAAGUAACUCAUUGCUAAUGAGUCGUAAUUUUUUUUUUUAAUUACCGAGGGUUCGAAUCCCUCUUUUUCCU
rnacentral:tRNA from 1 species